rnacentral:rRNA from 2 species
UGCAGUUAAAAAGCUCGUAGUUGGAUUUCUGUCUUGGACGUUCGGUCCGCUUCCUUUGGGAGUGUGUACUUAUGGAUGUUCGAGGCAUUUUUUGUGAGUCUGCCUUUCUGCCAUUAAGUUGGUGGGUUGGUGGGUUUGCAUCGUUUACUGUGAAAAAAUUAGAGUGUUUAAAGCAGGCGUUUGCUCAUUUGAAUACAUUAGCAUGGAAUAAUAAGAUAUGACUCUGGUGGUCUAUUUUGUUGGUUUGCACACCAGAGUAAUGAUUAAUAGGGACAGUUGGGGGUAUUCAUAUUUCAGCGUCAGAGGUGAAAUUCUUGGAUCGCUGGAAGAUGAGCUUAGGCGAAAAGCAUUUUACCAAGGAUGUUUUUCAUUAAUCAAGAAC